CCCUCCUCCCACCCCAUCCCACGCACGCACCCCGCAGGAAACACCGUUCCUCUCGAUCCCCACCCGUCGCCGCCGCCCUCAGCUCUCGAUCCCCUCGAGUAAGCGGCGCCGCCGUCGGCUCUCCAUCCCCUCGAUUAAAUGGUGCCGUCGUCAUCUCUCGAUCCCCUCGAGAUCGCUGCGCCGCCAUCGUCUCUCGAUCCCCUCGAGACCCCCAGGUCUCACACCACCACCGCCGGUGCCUCCUCCUCUGGCGACGCGGCGAACGAGAGCAGGGCCAUAGCAGGGGCGGCCGCCUCGUGCCCCCGAUGUCCAGGGCCCCCUCCGAUAUGCUGCAGGCCCAUGGCCCAAGCCCCAAGGAAACCAAGGACUCCGACGCAAGUAGUCGGUAGCGGCGAGUAUGUCUAAGAUCGUCGUGUUUUCUUCCCCAUCGAGUUCGCCUGUUGACUGGUUCGCGGAGGUUUCAGCAGACCCGUUUUUGCCCUGGAUGUGAGUCGUGUACCGGCGACUCUGGCGGUCCGACCUCAUGCACGUCGUCCUCACCAUCAACCCCAAGUCCCUCCUCCAGUGGAUCAUUGAACUCCGCAACCAAUUUCUUCGACGCUGUCAUGCAGAGGGGCAACUCUGAAUUAUAUACGAGGAUCCUGGGAGUCAAGGGCUUCAAGGUCGAGUCAUCUUCAGCGGGGGAGAAGAGCGAGGACAUGCGCUGGAGGAGGAACAACAUGGGUGCGUCUUUUUCCUCGUGUGCAGCAGCAGCCUCACUAAGGGAUCCAAGUGUGAGCACCGGCACUGCGAGGGCGCCCAGUUCAACCCCAGGAACUGCUGGUACUGGUUGCACGUUAGCUGCAUCAACCCAAGCCGCACCUUUCACCAACAUGUGUGUGACCCUCGAGUUGAUUUGUGUGGGUGCUUCUGUAAUCGCAAAAAUAAGAAAUGCGUGUGCUUCUAUGCUUGGUUGCAUGCCUAGGACGCUUUCGUCCGGUGGUUAGUCAUGGGUGUCAUUAUUACGCUUGUGCCAGCCUAACUUGGGCUGCAAUGUAAUUUGUUCCCUAAUGAUGAUGUAUUAUUUUCUAUGGAGAAUAGGCUCUAUUGCGAUCUCCAUCCGAGAAUUAGCUCUCCAUCCAAGAAUUAGCUUCCAACUCUAAAAAGGUACUGCUGCUGAACCAGGAAAACCAUCUAUGAGUUUCUCAUUUGUUCAAUUAUUUUCUUCUUCCGUUCUUGUUUGUUAUUCAAUGAUACUAGCUAGCAUGGUGCUGGCGAACGCCUGCAAUGGCACGCAGUGGAAGGUAAAAACCAAGGCAUGUCCCCUCGGCCCCUCCUUACUUUUAGUUGUCAUAUUGAUCUGACAUGUUGCUGAAGCGUUUGCUUCAGACCUUAGACCAUGGGCACCUUUUGAUUUCACUGAAUAUUCUGCUAUAUAUAAGGACUAAGCUAGCAUCUUGAAUUGACAUGUUCAGUACAAGGGUACAACUAGAAAUCCUAAUAAUUUGUAUGUCCACACGCUCUUUACAAAUGCCAUCUGUACAUUACAUGUGUGUGUACUGUUCUCUCACUACUAAGGUGUUUUAUGAGUUGAAGUGUUGUUCUCAUUGUUGUAAUGUUGAAAUAGACAGAACUCUGUUCUUCAUGAUCCAUUCGGGGUAAGGGUGGACAAUGAGCUACUUUGUUAACUGACGACGAACUGAAUCUGGUUAAAAGGUAAAUAAGCUUUUGAACUUUAUACAAAAAAAGUUUGCACCGAGCAGUUGGAUCCACUAACUUGCCUUAAAGCCAUGUUCAGAAACACACAUUUCAUUUUGCCAUCUUCAGAAACAUGCAACAGGCUCAAAAAAUAAGGUUGCAGCUCUUAUUAGUGUUAAAUGUUAGCAACUAUCUCGCACACGAGCGUGGUGUAGGUCGCAGCCAUGUGAGAUGCGAGCAGCAGUCGGCAGCCUGGGGCGGCAGGCGGGGCCACCGCGUGAUGACGGGUUCAACGGAUUCAUACCCAUACCGAUGUAUGUUGAGCUUGCCCUUGUUGUGUUUUUGAUAAUGAUGGUUGGGCUUUUCAUGAUGAAUCUUGUGUAUGCAUUCUAAUUUCAACAGAAUAACCAACUUUUAUCAUGGAUCUACACUCUGCAAUGAAAUUUGGUAUAUAGUAUAUAUGAUCUUGGUUUGUUAUUUUGAAUACAUAUGAUACUGGAUAUGUCUUCUUUGGGUCUCCAAAUGAUUUGAAAGAUUGGAUGCCAGAAAAUAGAUUGAGCAACCAUUACACAUUAGACUAAUUUAUAUGGCAUGUUACCUGGCCGUUCCCUUUCUUUUCUUUGUACACAAUAGUAUAGUUCUUUAUACCAACUGUAUCAACAUACUCAUUUGCCACUGAAACUUAUAUAUGUUUUCUAUUUCAAAAAUUAAUUGACUAUGAAGCAGGAAGAGAUGUCGAACUAUAGUGCCCUGAUAUAUUCCUUCGUUUCCUGGUAAGUUUACCUACGAUGGUUGUGUGCUAGGUAAUAGGCUAACUCUUUUGUUUGAAUCAUUAUCAUUAACUCAUUAGCUCUACUCCUAAUGUCUGAGUUGGUAGGAUUGCGUCCACGGCUUUUUUCGUCCCACCACUUUCAUCUGGUAUUUUUUCGUCCCCUCCCCCAACCCCACCCCACCUACUCAGCCCAACAAAACCCCCCAAAAAACCACUCCUAUCGAUACCUCGAGGACAUGACGCGAUCGUCGUGCGAUCUCGAGGUCAGAGCACUGCCUCCCCUCGAUCGCCACCUCUGACGUACGAUCUUGCCGCCACCGACCUCACAGAGGAGAUGCUGCCGCAGACGUCCAGGAACACCGCCGCGGACGUCCGGGAUCGCCGCCCCGACCUCCCAGAGGAGAUGACGCCGCCGCCGACCUCCGAGGGGAGACGCCGCCGCCACCUGCGCUAAAUCCUAGGCAUACACCACCGUGCUCCCGCCGUCGGGUUCCACAACCGUUCGCCACCAUGCUAUUGCCUUCCUCCCUCAGGUUCAUCUCCCCUUUUUUCUGUUUGGAUCAAGACGGCGAGAAUCAAAUCUGAGACGGAGAGAAUCGGAUCAGGAUAGAGAGACGGAAUGAGGAUUGAUGCCAUGGGAUCCCUUGCUAAAAUUGAGAGGGAGGGAGGGAGGGAGGGAAAGGGUAUCCUUGUGCAGGGCUGUUUGGACCUCGUUCAGUCCAUUUUAGCAUGAAAAAAGUUGCCACGGGCUAAUGCAACGGCCUGCACGGCACACCACGGCCUGCUACCUAAGGGUUUGCCUCAGUUUUCCGUUUUUUGGGUAAAGCAAAUUUCCCCCAAUAUACAGAUAUGCUAUGACAUAAACAUGUCAAAACCAUCAAGGUUAAAUUUAUAUGCACUGGAAUUUUAUAGAUUUGUUUUAGCAUGUGCAAGUCUAUUAGAUAGUAUUUUGGACAGAGUUAAGGAUAGUCUUUUGUGGCUAACUAUAGUAUUUUGUGGCCUAAGUGUAUAAGUGAAAUGGCCUAAUCUAUGUACUCCGGUGAUUGUUGGAUCUGCAUGGGAUGACAGAUGGGAGGGGGGCAGUUACAAUGUCACUUGCUACUGGAUCUCGGUCCACCGAGCAGCCGCUUCUGAGAAGAGAAAAUGUUCUAUAUUGACAUGCAUGUGAUUAAUAAUGAAUGGUACAUGGUUCCUACACUUAGUUGAUAUUGUGUUUAAAUUUUCUUUACUUGAUCAUGUUACUUGCAGGAAAUUGCCAUAUUUGGACACAGAUUCCUGAUUUCCUCACUUCCUCAAGGCGAAGAGGCGAAGGCUAUUGUCGAUGUGCGAAUGUGGCACCACUACUCUUUACUGUGAUGAGGAGAUUCAGUGAAGGAGAAUCUAAUGAGGAGUCGGAUGUGCAGUCAUCAAAAGCCCCAUGACAAACUCUGUGCCUGUCGCUCCCAUCAACAACAACCAAAUGGUGUAACAUUCCUUAGGUCUUCAUGCAUUUAACCUAUUAUUACUGGACUGGUUUUGGUAAGCCAACUAAGAAACAUUUUGAUCUCAAAAAAUAAUAUUUGUAACUAAGGAGCAAUAUCACGGCAAUCUUUGGUAAGCAAAAGUACUCAGAUUUUUUUGGUAAGCCAACUAAGAAACAUUUUCAUCUACCAAAGAAACUCAGAUUUCUUUAAAGGACAGACCCAGUGCAUAGAAGCUCCCACACAAGGUGGGGUCUGGGGAGGGAUUAUAGGAACCUAGUCUUACCCCUGCAAAGUGCAAUGCAGAGAGGCUGGUUCGAACCCAGGACCUCUUGGCACAAGUGGGGAGGACUUCACCAUUGCGCUAGGCGUGCCCUCAAAGAAACUCAGAUUUCUUUGGUAAAUAAAAACUAAGAAACAUAUUUUUACAAAGAAAACUUUGGUAACCAACAAAUUUAGAUCAAUUGAAGUAUUUAAUCAAUAAUUUUCUACAGUAUGUUUACUGAUAUAGGUGGCACAAUAGAACGAAAUGCUGACCAGGCCAGCUAACUUAAUCAGCCUGGGAUCAACUUCCUAAACCCGACACUCCUUCCUAACACACCAUCCUUCCAUGUUGUCGAUCCUUCGUUCCCCGUCUCUGAUCAUAUCUGAUCUAGGGUUAAUAGUCAUUCUUUUUGUGCUUCUCCCACAAAAGCUUUUUCCUGCAAUAUGCAUCAAUUCGUCUUUUCCAGGAUUCUCAGAGUUCACGUUCGCAAGGAACUCACAAAUCUUGGUGGCUAAAAGGUGCCCAAGCUUAGGCAACAACACUCCGGCCACAACAAUUUCGUCAGCCAUAGGAACCACACCUCCAAAGGCCUGAGCGAGAGUGAGCGUGUGUCGACCAUGCCUGGACCACCACUCUCCACAUAUGUAUACUACGGCUGGCUAGGCUCCAAUAGAGGCUGAGAGACUCCUAAUAUAUGGUCCGUAGUCAUUUCAUUUCGCUACAUUGAUCGAAGCCGCGAGUCAAUCGAAAGGAAAUCCCCCACCGUCGAAGGAAGUCAAUCUCACCUCGAGUCCCGACCCCACCUCUCGUUUUCCCUUCCUAAUCUCCCGAUAAAGAUCCACAUCCCUCCUCCACCGCCAUCUCCAUCCUCUGCACCCCUCGCCUUUGCAAUCCAUCCUCCAUCCAGUUUUCCUUUUGUUUUCUAUCCCAAAAAAUCAGAUCGCAAUCCAUCUUUCCUUUAAUGCACAUCUCUCCUGUAAAAAAUCAGAACACAUGCCCGUCCUUCUCAUUAACAUGCGUUUCUUCUGAAUAUCUGGGAUGCAAUCCUCUCCUUCCCACUAAUCUCUUAUAUAUAUGCCUUUCCUAAAGAUAUCUCGGUCCUGCCCAGCUUGAUCUAAUUCAAUUUAGAUGAAGGAUACUUUCAGGAACAAGACGAUCUACUCAAAGGCUGGCUUGCUCCGCGGCCUCCACCUCGCCCACCUCAUCCCGUAGACAUUGUCGUCCUCCACACGACCACACCAGCUUUCACGAUUUGGGUCUAUGGCAGGCAUAAACUAUGAGAAUUUGACUGGUCGUUUUCAUCGCAGGCGGCUGCGGCGAGGACGUGUGGAAGGCAACAGCUCGGACUUGAUGCCCUUUGCCUCCGUCAAGGACACUGUCAAUGGUGCGUAAUCUCAAACCUCCUUUUGACGUAUUUGUGCUCGUGAAACAAGUAUUCGGCCUGGCCGAUGGCAAAACGCAAAUAUGGCAAAGCUGGCUUGACUUGAGAUGGAUUGAAUCUGGUACAACGUGGCUAGCCAAAAGGUGGCUAGCAAAGCACGCACACACACUGGCAUGUGUAACAUAUUUGUUGUUUGUAAACUCACAAUGAUUACAAUGUGAGCUACAUGCAUUUAUACUAACAUAACAUCAUCUGCCUAAGUAGAGUUAGGAUUUCUAUACUACUUGAACAAUCAAUGAGAUCUAUAGGAAAGCGGAAGAGAGAACUAGCAAGCCGGUGAUUUUACUGUUUUAUCUAGAUUCAUUGUGCUAAAUCAAGUAGUUCUAACCUAGCUGUUACAGGAUUCACCGAUUUAGUCCAUGUUUUGCUUUUCCAGUUUUAGUGAAUGGGGUGGAUUUUGAAAUCUCAUAUUUCAGUUAGUUUUUGGUCGGUCAGCUUGAGUAGUAGGGUCCGUUUGGAUGGAAGCCGUUAACUGAGGACACAUGCAAGCGUUUGGAUGGCUGCCCAAAAUUCUGAUGUAGCCAAUUUUUUGUUUAAUACAUUCAGUUUUUCCACAAACCACGGGGCGAUUCAGCGGAGGCGAAACCUUCUGCUAAAAAGUUGGCACGCCUAGCGUUGGCAGGGCGGUUGCAGGCGCUAUCCAAACAACCCCGUAUUCUCUUUUUUUUUCUCAGUUGGUAUUUCAUAUAGGCCACCUUGCUAUGUUAUAUAAGAUACUCAUAUAGGAGGUCAAGCUUGAAAAAGGUAGAAUUUUCAACAAGUCAAGAAUCAUGUUAACCAGGUUGUCAUGAUAUUUCCGCUGCUUCAAAAUGCUCCAUGAGAUGUUAGGUAACAUGCCUCUGAAUGUUGAUUUCUUUUUACAGAAUUUUGACUGUUUAUGUAGACUUUGGUUCAUUAUGACAACGGCAAAGAUCACUUUGAGGCGCUCGCCAUGGCAGACGGGGAUGGGGUGGCGCCGGGUACACUGUUGAUAACAAAAAUGUUGUGACGGUUCCAAAUGAGAACUGAACUUACUGCACUAAUAUUCAGUUAUAUAUCAAGUCGGCAAAUGUUUGUGUGUUCUGUAAAAUAGCAUGGCAAAUUUUAGUCCAAAUGUUGUCUGUCUUCAGUUAUCUAAAAACUAGCAUGGCCAAUUUGUACAUGAUACAAUUUUUCAGCAUGGCAAAUUAGUUAAUAAAUUGUAAAAAAGGUGGUACCAAAUAAACUUGUAUACGGUUAUGUAGCAUCCUAAUUUUUCGUAUAGCAACUAAGCCAUCAGUAUCCUUUCAAUGGUUAUUUUAUACAUGCGAAAUUUGACAUGUAUUAUCUUUAUAAAUGUCAUCCAACAAAAUUUAAAAGGCCCGUGGCAACGCACGGGCAUUGUACUAGUAUACAUAAAGAAUGA